rnacentral:lncRNA from 1 species
AUCAACAGCCACUUCCUCCCUGGGGCUUAACAGGCAUUCCUUGAAUCCUGCCCCGGGCAGUUAGUCCUUCCCUUUUGUGUGAACUCAUGGCUGUUUUCAUUGUCUACACACAGAGCAGUGGUCUAGGGAGCCAAGGGUUUGGGAAUGGACCUUUUCCUUUCUUAGCUUGCUGUAGGGAAUGUGCUUCAGCUAAGUAAAGUGGAAAAACAGAAGUACAAAAGGAAGAGCCCCAGAUCUAAGGGCACUGUAGCUCUGGAAUCUGGAUUUUAUUCCAGAUUCAACCCACAGCAGGGAGUUGAAGUGGUCAGCCCUGUGCCUUACAAGGCUGAUUGGGCAGCACCCAAAGUAGAAUUGUCAACAUAAAGUAAUUGAAAGGAUCAGAAUCCAGGGUUUUUAAAGUUGUUUUUGUUUGUUUUUAAGUUUACUUCUCUUUAAUCGGUCUCACUUUAUUGACCAGGCUGGUUUCGAACUCCUGGGCUCAAGUGAUUUCUCCUGCCUCAGCUCCUCAAAGUGCUGGGAUUAUAGGCGUCAGCCGCUGCACCCAGCCCAGAAUCCAGUUUUAAAGAGUUUAUUCAAGCCAAAAGCUGGGAAUGGCCAUCUGAGAAACACAGACUCCAGGGAAAUGGGGCCAGGGCUCUGAAGUUAAAAGUUUAAGUCUUGCCUACAUAGGCAGAAAGCAAAGAAAUUUAGUAACCUUGUAGAACAUUUUCUUGUAUAACUUCUCUUGUUUUAACUUUCUUGUUUAACAUUUUCUAUGCAAGGCUGGUUUAUGAGUUACAACCUAUAAUUAAUUAUAGGUUGUUCCCCUGCCUCCAUCUUGUUUUCUUUUCUCUACAGCUUGUUUUCAUUUCCUUUCCAAUUUAAGAAUGUGUUUAACAUUCUAUCCCAGACAAUAUGAUGGUCAUGAAGUCUCUGUCAGAGAGGAAAGAGGGAGUUAAUCUAUAAUGAAGAUCAACAGUGAAGAGGAAAGGGGUCUUCCCUGGAACCCUUCAGUCAUAUACGACAUUUUACACAACAAUAAUGGACCUGUGUAAGGAGAUAUGUGUGGGAGAAGAUUCCAGAAGGUCUUGAGACACUCCAGAUGAAGGUUGGUGUGGGGCUGUGCUGCUGGAGCACCAGAGAGUGAAAAGAGGGUAUCUCCCUCUGUGCUAGGCCAGAGUGCAGUGGUGCAAUCAUGGCUCACUGUAGUCUCAACCUCCUGGGUUCAAGAGAUCCUCCCACUUCAGCCUCCCAAGUAGCUAGGACUACAGGUAUGUCCUUAACCUUGGCACAACAAAUCUCUAAAUCGAUUGAGACCUGUCUCAGAUACUUUUUGGUUUAUAAGAUGGGGGCUGAAAUUAAAGAGAAAGCUCCUCACUCAGCUCACAAAGGAGCAGAAUGGGAAGAGGACUUAGUGAGAAUUCCCUGAACACAGGAGAAAACCGAAGCCCAGAGAGUGGAUGGCCAAGUCCAAGGCCACAUAGCCAAGUGCAUCUGAGCAGCGCAGGAUCCAGGUUUCCUGCCCCAGUGCUGUUUCUGCAGCCCGUGCCACCUGUUUUCAUACUAUCUCGGUUCACCAUCCAGCUACACACCUGCAAUCAGAAACAGAAAGUCUGAGAGUGUGUGUGGAGCCAAAGAGGGGACAGCAGUGGUUAGAAGCAAGGCACAAGUCAUACCUACAUUCAAGGAGAGGAGACCAUGCAAAGGAUAAACUUCAGAGAGACAACAGAUUUACAUCCCAGACACAUUCACACUGGGCAAAGAGCAGCUGCCAUUGCAGAUUUGAGUCACGUCCUUUUUUCCCUCCUUCUCCUUCUUGGAGUUACAGCAGAAGCUGGGGAGGUGAGAGUGCAGAAAGGACAUGGAUGAAGCAGAGAGGCAUGUGCCUGUCUCAUUCGCCUCUGGAUCUGCUGCAUCCAGGACCAUGUCAGCACAAAGUGGGAGCCCGAUAAAUAUUUAUUGAAGAAAUGAAAGGUGACAAAAGGCAGAAGGAGGGAGACCCCCAAAAGAGCAGCACAGGAAGCUGCCCCCUCAAACCCUAAAGGCUCCUGGAGCUAUUCACAGUGCUGGGGAACAACCAGAGGAGGAGGAGGACAGAAGGAGAGAACAUUUUUUUAAAAAUCCCAAACAAAACCAAAUUCUAUACAUGUAUAUCUCGAGUGAGUAAAUGUGUAACACUCAGCA